UCCUACGGGAGGCAGCAGUGGAGAAUCUUGUACAAUGGGCGAAAGCCUGAUGCAGCAACGCCGCGUGAAGGAUGAAGGCCCUUGGGUCGUAAACUUCUGUUCUAAGGGAAGAUAAUGACGGUACCUUAGGAGCAAGUCCCGGCUAACUACGUGCCAGCAGCCGCGGUAAUACGUAGGGGGCGAGCGUUAUCCGGAAUUAUUGGGCGUAAAGAGUACGUAGGUGGUUUCCUAAGCGAGGGGUUUAAGGCAAUGGCUUAACCAUUGUUCGCCCCCCGAACUGGGUAACUUGAGUGCUGGAGGGGAAAGCGGAAUUCCUAGUGUAGCGGUGAAAUGCGUAGAUAUUAGGAGGAACACCAGUGGCGAAGGCGGCUUUCUGGACAGUAACUGACACUGAGGUACGAAAGUGUGGGGAGCAAACAGGAUUAGAUACCCUGGUAGUCC
rnacentral:rRNA from 1 species